rnacentral:rRNA from 1 species
GAGUUUGAUCAUGGCUCAGAACGUACGCUGGCGGCACGCCUAACACAUGCAAGUCGAACGAAGUAGCAAUACUUAGUGGCAGACGGGUGAGUAACAUGUGGGUAUCUGCCCUUUGGCCUGGAAUAACACGAGGAAACUUGUGCUAAUACCGGAUAAGUCUUUACGGAGAAAGCUUUAUGCACCAUUGGAUGAGCCCGCACUUGAUUAGUUUGUUGGUGGGGUAAUGGCCUACCAAGACUGUGAUCAAUAGCUGAUUUGAGAGGAUGAUCAGCCACAUUGGGACUGAGACACGGCCCAAACUCCUACGGGAGGCAGCAGUGGGGAAUCUUGCACAAUGGAGGAAACUCUGAUGCAGCGAUGCCGCGUGAGUGAAGAAGGCCUUUGGGUUGUAAAGCUCUUUCGUCGGGGAAGAAAAUGACUGUACCCGAAUAAGAAGGUCCGGCUAACUUCGUGCCAGCAGCCGCGGUAAUACGAAGGGACCUAGCGUAGUUCGGAAUUACUGGGCUUAAAGAGUUCGUAGGUGGUUGAAAAAGUUGGUGGUGAAAUCCCAGAGCUUAACUCUGGAACUGCCAUCAAAACUUUUCAGCUAGAGUUUGAUAGAGGAAAGCAGAAUUUCUAGUGUAGAGGUGAAAUUCGUAGAUAUUAGAAAGAAUACCAAUUGCGAAGGCAGCUUUCUGGAUCAUUACUGACACUGAGGAACGAAAGCAUGGGUAGCGAAGAGGAUUAGAUACCCUCGUAGUCCAUGCCGUAAACGAUGUGUGUUAGACGUUGGAAAUUUAUUUUCAGUGUCGCAGCGAAAGCGAUAAACACACCGCCUGGGGAGUACGACCGCAAGGUUAAAACUCAAAUGAAUUGACGGGGACCCGCACAAGUAGUGGAGCAUGUGGUUUAAUUCGAAGAUACGCGCAGAACCUUACCAACACUUGACAUGUUCGUCGCGACUUUAAGAGAUUAAAGUUUUCGGUUCGGCCGGACGAAACACAGGUGCUGCAUGGCUGUCGUCAGCUCGUGUCGUGAGAUGUUGGGUUAAGUCCCGCAACGAGCGCAACCCCUACCCUCAAUUGCCAGCACGUUAUGGUGGGAACUUUGAAGGAACUGCCGGUGAUAAGCCGGAGGAAGGUGGGGAUGACGUCAAGUCCUCAUGGCCCUUACGGGCCGGGCUACACACGUGAUACAAUGGUGAUUACAAAGGGCUGCUACAGAGCGAUCUCAAGCAAAUCCUUAAAAGUCAUCUCAGUUCGGAUUGCACUCUGCAACUCGAGUGCAUGAAGCUGGAAUUACUAGUAAUCGUGGAUCAGCGUGCCACGGUGAAUGCGUUCCCGGGUCUUGUACACACCGCCCGUCACACCAUGGGAGUUGGUUCUACCUUAAGGCAAGGUUUAAUACCCUUGACCACGGUAUAGUCAGCGACUGGGGUGAAGUCGUAACAAGGUAACC